AGUGGAAUUGUUGGGUCAUAUGGUAAUUCUUUGUUUAACUUUUUGAGGAACCACCAGACUGUUUUCCACAGUGGCUGCACAAUUUUGCACUCCCAUCAGCAAU
rnacentral:pre_miRNA from 1 species